rnacentral:rRNA from 1 species
CAGGGAAUCUUGCGCAAUGGGCGAAAGCCUGACGCAGCAACGCCGCGUGGGGGAUGAAGGCCUUCGGGUUGUAAACCCCUUUCAGGAGGGAAGAAAUUGACGGUACCUCCAAAAGAAGGACCGGCCAACUACGUGCCAGCAGCCGCGGUAAUACGUAGGGUCCUAGCGUUAUCCGGAAUCAUUGGGCGUAAAGAGCUCGUAGGCGGUUCAGCAAGUCGGCUGUGAAGGUCCGAGGCUCAACCUCGGAAUUGCAGUCGAUACUGCUGUGACUCGAGUCCGGUAGAGGAGAAUGGAAUUCUCGGUGUAGCGGUGAAAUGCGCAGAUAUCGAGAGGAACACCAGUAGCGAAGGCGGUUCUCUGGGCCGGCACUGACGCUGAGGAGCGAAAGCGUGGGGAGCAAACAGGAUUAGAUACCCUGGUAGUCCACGCCGUAAACGUUGGAUACUAGGUGUGGCGGUUAUACCAAUGACUGCCGUGCCGAGCUAACGCAUUAAGUAC